GUGGGGAAUAUUGCACAAUGGGCGCAAGCCUGAUGCAGCAACGCCGCGUGAGGGACGACGGCCUUCGGGUUGUAAACCUCUUUUAGCAGGGAAGAAGCGAAAGUGACGGUACCUGCAGAAAAAGCACCGGCUAACUACGUGCCAGCAGCCGCGGUAAAACGUAGGGUGCAAGCGUUGUCCGGAAUUAUUGGGCGUAAAGAGCUCGUAGGCGGUCCGUCGCGUCUGCUGUGAAAACCCGAGGCUCAACCUCGGGCCUGCAGUGGGUACGGGCGGACUAGAGUGCGGUAGGGGAGAUUGGAACUCCUGGUGUAGCGGUGGAAUGCGCAGAUAUCAGGAAGAACACCGAUGGCGAAGGCAGAUCUCUGGGCCGUAACUGACGCUGAGGAGCGAAAGCAUGGGGAGCGAACAGGAUUAGAAACCCUUGUAGUCC
rnacentral:rRNA from 1 species